UGCUAUCCUGUUCUGAGCUCUCCGUGAGAUGGCCUUCCUGAUCUCAGGAGUCAUCCUGCUCUGUCCUGGUUCGCAGAUUGAGGCCUGAGCAGGUCUUGACUUUUCUCUCCCACUUCUCACAGAGGAUCCCAAAGGAGGAACAAGGAUAAGCCACCAAGAGUCCGAGUGAGAUGCCCCACAGCUCUGCCUCCUGUCUCCUGCAAGCUGCACACUCUGCCGCGAGGCCCUGUGUGCCCGGAGCCAGCUGCUGCUGUUGUCCCAAUCGCCACAGCCCGUAGCCUCCUGCGCAUCAGAGUCCUGGAAGGCCCUGGCCCUCACCAGGUCAGAGGGGCCCCUGGAGGAAGCAGCUGGCGCCUGGAGACCCAGAACCCCGAGUGAGGACAGCGCCA